rnacentral:rRNA from 1 species
GAAUUCGAUUAACGCGAAGAACCUUACCCAGGCUUGAACUGCAGAUGACAUCCUACGAAAGUAGGCUCCCGCAAGGGCAUCUGUAGAGGUGCUGCAUGGCUGUCGUCAGCUCGUGUCGUGAGAUGUUGGGUUAAGUCCCGCAACGAGCGCAACCCUUGUCUUCUGUUGCCAUCGGGUCAUGCCGGGCACUCUGAAGAGACUGCCGGUGACAAACCGGAGGAAGGUGGGGAUGACGUCAAGUCAGCAUGGCCUUUAUGUCUGGGGCCACACACGUGCUACAAUGGCCGGUACAAACCGUCGCGAUCUCGCAAGAGGGAGCUAAUCGGAGAAAGCCGGUCUCAGUUCGGAUUGUAGGCUGCAACUCGCCUGCAUGAAGUUGGAAUCGCUAGUAAUCGCGGAUCAGCACGCCGCGGUGAAUACGUUCCCGGGCCUUGUCACACCGAAUCACUA